GGGUGCAAUCAUACAAGCACUAAUGCACCGGAUCCCAUCAGAACUCCGAAGUUAAGUGUGAUUGGGCAAGAGUAGUACUAAGAUGGGUGACCUCUUGGGAAGUCCUCGUGUUGCACCCC
rnacentral:rRNA from 1 species